AUAAAAUAAAUUAAAAACAAUGCACUGUACAUAUUUUAAAAAGAGAAUCUGGCGUUCAAGAAACCAACAUGGCAGACUUGGGAGAAGGCAUCUUCACGGUUCGCAGUGGAUGGACGUCGCGAUGAAGACCCUGCAGGUGGAAACCAGUGCGCUGAGUCGAUUGGGUCGAAAGAAAACACAUGGCUGGUUGAUUUAGAGGACAUUCAAAGCAUCAGUAGAAUAGUCAUUUAUCACAGGACAGGUGGAGUUUCAUUUGCACACAGCCAAUAUGCGAGCAGAUUCCUUGGAUUUUCUCUGUAUGUAUCAAAUACAACGGUCAAAGAAGACGGGAUGUUGUGUUACAAAGACACCAACUUUACUGCGGCCUCUAUUCCGCCGACCAUGAACAUAUCAUGUGAUGUUCUCGGGCGUUUUGUGAUAUACUACAAUUCCAGAAAAAACUUGUCGCCCAUCAACCACGAUUAUUCUCCAAAGGUUUUUAAUAAUCUUUGUGAAGUGGAGGUUUAUGGUUGUCCAAUUGGAGUGUACGGAGCUAACUGCGAUAUUCCCUGUCCAAGGAACUGCACGUACUGUAACUACAUAACGGGGAAAUGCCUA